GCUCGUGUAGCUCAGUUGGUAGAGCGAUGAUCUUAUAAGUCAUCAGUCCGCAGUUCGAACCUGCGCUCGAGCA
rnacentral:tRNA from 1 species